rnacentral:lncRNA from 1 species
GGAGUGAAAUUGUGAUAACUCCUGGCACAACCAUUAAGACCCUCAUCUAUAGUGGACUGGAACAAAGCACAGUCCAUGUUACACUUAGGUUAAAAAGAAGAAUGAAAACCCCUCAAGCCAGAUUUUAUGACUUUUUAUAUCACACUGAAAAGUCCAAUGAACUACAGAUUUCAACCAUGGAGAUUUGUGCCCUACUAUGAAACGGUGACUGUAACACAGAUUGAUGAAAGAUUCUGCAGGACGACAAAGGUUAAAGAUGUAGACCCGGAGCUAGAAGCCAGCACUGACACUGAUGGAGUGGACUGCGAUGAGAAUGCCCACAUUAUUGUCCUAUCCUCUGAUAACCAAUGUAAUAUGAAAACCGACUACAGAAGAAAGGAACAAAUUAAAUCCAUUAAUCAAGCAUAUCUCUGCUAAACAGUUGUUCGAAACUGAUGAACAAAUGAAAAAUUUACUGUUUGUUUUCAUGCUUGCAAGGAUUGGGGAAGAAAAUUAAUUAUAAGGUACUGGCCACACUAUCAGUAAAGUUUUUCUUGAGGAAACUAUUGCUUUGUCAAAGGACAAAUGAACCUCAUUAGGGAGAUUAGUUUCAGCUGGUAGUUUUGCAUUAGUACAAACUAAUAAUACACACUUCAAAAGAUACCCUGAGUAAGAUUAUGAAAAUUGAAAUCCAUUUGUUACUUCUUAAUUUACUAACUGUUAGAAAAUGACCACUCUAUUACUUAUCAUGAAACCAGAAGGAAAUCAAACACUGCUCACCUUUCAACUAAGUGCCUGAAAGAGAACUGUUGCAGUGUGGGCUUUGUGAGUGCUGCGAUGAUGAACUUACGCAUACAGGGGUUAUAACUUGGCCACGGCAUUUUACUCUUAGGUUGAAGCAUGUCAUGCAGAGCUCCAUGCCAAACGCAAUUUUUGAUAAGCUUCUUUGAAAUCCUUUUCUUUUCAAAUGUUUUAAAUGAAUUGGACAAAUAGCAAACUGACAUCUGAUAUUCUGAAUUCCCCUUAAAUCUAUACAGAGCAAGAACAGAAAAGAGAAAACGCUACUUUGCUAUCAAUCCUGUAUGGCCAGUGCACUGAGGCUCCUAAGCUGGCCACAGUGAGUGCAGUCCAGCUUCAAUGUUCAUUGAAUCCCUGGCCUUUCUGUCAAGGCAGCUAAGAACAGAGCCAAUCACUGCUCUCGGUGACGGGGAGUGCUUGGCUGCAGACACACGUCUUCCAAAACCUGGAGUGAGACCAGUCUCAUUCCAAAGAGUGUAUAAAUCAGCUGUGAAAUAAUAAUGACUUUUUUGGGUUCUACUGACCCGGCCUGGAUUCAGACUGCUGACCCAGAAAAGAAAGGCUUCACACAUCCCAUUAGCAGUCCUUUCAGCCAUUGAAGACAUCCCCAUCCAAUUCUGACUUUCUUUCCUUUACAGCAGUCUUGCUCUUUUUUACGGGCAUGUAAACCAAAUUGACGUUUACUUACUGCUUUUGUUUGGUUCCUUGAUGUAACUUCUCUAAUUUAACAGCAGCUUUCCAGGCAUAGCGUUUGAAUGAAUCAGGCCAAAUAACAUUAAAGUUCACUUUCUCAAAGCUUAAACUCUGUUACCGAGAAAAGAUGGGGGUAGAGUUUUAAAGUAUUCUUCUUAGUAUAAAACUAAACGUUUUUCUCUAGACAUAUUGUCUCGUGAUAUUUUUAAAAGCCAGCAUUAUUUUUUUUUCAGGAAAGUUAAGUCAGUCUAUAACAGUGAUUCCACGGUUUACCCUGUUGUCCUGGAGUGGGUAGGAGCUUUCAGGAGUAGCUAAGGGUUUUCUUUUUCCAAAGUAAGUGUGUCAAGUUGAAAGAAAAUUACAGGUUGUGGGACUGAGAAGUUAGAUAAUAUAAGGGCUCUUCUAAUGAAAAAAAAAAA